UACGUAGGGCGCAAGCGUUGUCCGGAAUUAUUGGGCGUAAAGAGCUCGUAGGCGGCUUGUCACGUCAGGUGUGAAAGCCCGGGGCUUAACCCCGGGUCUGCAUUCGAUACGGGCUGGCUAGAGUGUGGUAGGGGAGAUCGGAAUUCCUGGUGUAGCGGUGAAAUGCGCAGAUAUCAGGAGGAACACCGGUGGCGAAGGCGGAUCUCUGGGCCAUUACUGACGCUGAGGAGCGAAAGCGUGGGGAGCGAACAGG
rnacentral:rRNA from 1 species